AAUGAACGUUGGCGGCGUGGAUUAGGCAUGCAAGUCGUACGGGAGUAGCAAUACUCUAGUGGCGAAAGGGAUAGUACAAUAUAGAUCAUCUGCCCCCGGGACGUGGAUAUACGAGGGAAACUUCGGGUAAUACACGAUAACAUCCCCGGAUCAAAGGUGAGAUUCCGCCGGGGGACGGGUCUGCGUCCUACUAGCUAGUUGGUGAGGUAACGGCUCACCAAGGCGACGAUGGGUACCGGGCGUCAGAGCGUGACCCGGAUCACUGGGACUGAGACACUGCCCAGACACCUACGGGUGGCUGCAGUCGAGAAUCUUCGGCAAUGGACGAAAGUCUGACCGAGCGACGCCGCGUGCGGGACGAAGGCCUUCGGGUUGUAAACCGCUGUCAAGUUGGAGGAAAUGCGUGGGGGUCAUCCCCUGCGUUUGACCGAUAGCAAAAGGAAGGACGGGCUAAGUUCGUGCCAGCCGCCGCAGUAACAC
rnacentral:rRNA from 1 species